rnacentral:rRNA from 1 species
AUGUCCUUCCCGAGUGAGGAAGUUUUGCACAGGGUCACUGGGUUUGCAGUUUUCAUCAAGUCUCACAAUGUCACUAUCGAGUUUAAGCCUUGGAAGCCAGAAGAGAUACCACACCGUUUCGAGCUGAUACCUACUUGGGUCCAUGUGCAUGGGGUGCCUCAUGCUCUCCGACAUUUCUUGGGGCUUUGGGCGGUUGGCUCGGUCAUUGGCGCUACUCUUGACGUCGAUCUUCUCUGUUUACGUCGGAGAGGAAUUGUUCGUAUCCAGGUAGCGGUGCUGAACCUUGAUGCUUUCAAAAGCAACACCAUUGACUCUCUCUCUACCGAUGUGGUGGUUCAAAGAAAAGGUUAUGAGUUCCGGUACAAUCUGGAAAAAUCAGACUUCCAGGUUGAUAGUGAUUUUGUGCCUCGAGUCUGGGAGCACGGCGACGAUCCAGGAGGCGACAAGGGGCAUGACAAGGAGGAUACAGUGAAGAGCAACGAUCCAAGCAAGAGGUCCAAACCCACUUCAACUCCUAACAACCCUUCGGCCAUUGCUACCACGGGCGGUGUGGUGCCCAUGCAAAUGACCAGUGCCAUCACACCGCUGAACCCUCAUUGA